GAAGCAAAGAUUUUGACGUCUCAACCAUUCUAGUAUCUAUCUAGCUAGCUAGCGUAUAAUUAUACCUCUUCCAUCUCAUUUCCACUUCCUUUCCUUGUAUUACAUUCUCAUAAUUCAGUAGCUGCAUAGUUCCUGCUUCUUCUUCCUUUAUCUUGACCUCCGCUCCAUCACCAUCAAAAGAAACGAAUAUCCUAUACAUGGAUGAGGGCAGCCAGGCAAGUUUAUCAUUUGGUUUAUGCUUCUUUGUCAGUUGGAUCUUGUUAAGUGGUAAGCACAAAGAGAAAACGGGGAUGUUGGAAUGGCUCAAUCAAAUCAAAUCUCCCAAGCUUUUUAUGGGUGUUUUAAUUUGAUUGAGCCGUGCCAAUAUCACGUUAAUUACUUAUCUUCAUAUAAUUAUAUAUUCUUUUUCUUUUUCUUUUGUUUCAGUUUCACACUACGAAUAUUCAUGCUAUAACAAGUUCUUUUCUUGAGGUAUAUCUUUCCACUGACAAAGUAGAAGGGACUGAAAUGAUCUCAUGCAUAUAUUUCAUGAAAUUCUUCUUCCCCAGCCUCCUUUGCAUGCACAAAUAUCCUGGAAAAUUGUUUAGGAGCAAAAUUAUAUACACUCAAAAAUCCUCUCACAGGAUGGGGAUUAUCCCAAACCAAUACUGUGGAUUUUAGCAAAUAAUAGAUUAGAUCCAUUCCUGGCUUUUGUCUCUGAUGAAACAGUGAGGACUGAGGAUAAUCUUGAUCAGAAUAGGCUGUCCGAAAAGGAACUGCGUAGCAACCAUAUAAAUUGUCUUAUUUUAACGACCCAAGGUUGGAUUACUGGUUAUUUGCCUUUUAUAUCGAAAGGUCAAAGUUGAAGACUCAACUUCCUCAAUAACUAUACAUCUUUUUUGGUCGUUGACAGUGUGCCAAGAAAAUAUUUUGGUCCUCUCCAGCUGAGCCAUGUCAUCCUUGUGGUAGUGGCCCAUCAUUUUUCAUCCUCUUUUCUUCUUCACGACCAAAUCUAAUGUGAAAAGUGAAACAAUAUCGUCAACUGAAAGACCAAAAACCCUAAGCUCCAUGUAUAUAGCAGCAUGGUUUUGUUAGUGAACUGAUGCAGAUCUUCGUAGUUAAGGUGAAGAAAUUGGCAUCUUCAGUAACUUGGCAUCAUAAGAGAAUUCAGGGAGGGAAUAUAUCCACAUAGCAAAGCACAACUUAACAAUUCCCAUUGGUCAGGGUUCUUCCAACCUCAUUAAUCACAUGUGGUUCCAAUACAUCUCUCGUUAAUUUAUUCCAUUUUCAUCCAUAUUCAUGCUUGACACGCUGAAUUGCCGGUGCUCAGUGAAAACGAGAUGACACUUUGCAGUAUUACCAGUUUAGCUCAUACCUCUGCCUAGAAUGUUUGACAGACUAGAGGAAUGUCAGGCAUGAUGCCAAAUUCUCCUUUUUCUAAUGAAGUAAUUUUCUUAUUGCUACGUAUGGUUUGGUGGGAGCGAAGGGCAUAUGGUAAAAGUGGGGAAAAGGGGAAAAAGAGAAUCUGCACUUUCCCAUGCCCCAUGACCCAAUAUUUCCACAAUUGGAAAGAAAAUGUAAAGAAAACAUCCAUUUCAUUAGAAGUAAUCAUUUGAUGAUUCAGAAUUAUAUAUGUCCAUUAACUA
rnacentral:sRNA from 10 species